AGCAGCCGCGGUAAUUCCAGCUCCAAUAGCGUAUAUUAAAGUUGUUGCAGUUAAAAAGCUCGUAGUUGAAUUUCGGGGUUAGUAGGUUGGUCAUGCCUCUGGUAUGUACUGGUCUCACUGAUUCCUCCUUCCUGAUGAACCGUAAUGCCAUUAAUUUGGUGUUGCGGGGAAACUGGACUGUUACUUUGAAAAAAUUAGAGUGUUUAAAGCAGGCUAACGCUUGAAUACAUUAGCAUGGAAUAAUGAAAUAGGACGUUCGAUCUUAUUUUGUUGGUUUCUAGGAUUGACGUAAUGAUUAAUAGGGAUAGUUGGGGGCAUUAGUAUUCAAUUGUCAGAGGUGAAAUUCUUGGAUUUAUUGAAGACCAACUACUGCGAAAGCAUUUGCCAAGGAUGUUUUCAUUAAUCAAGAACGAAAGUUAGGGGAUCGAAGACGAUCAGAUACCGUCGUAG
rnacentral:rRNA from 1 species